rnacentral:rRNA from 1 species
GACGAACGCUGGCGGCGUGCUUAACACAUGCAAGUCGAACGGGUCUGCCCUGUUUUUUGCGGGGUGGGUCAGUGGCGAACGGGUGAGUAACACGUGAGUAACCUGCCCCUCACUUCUGGAUAACCGCUUGAAAGGGUGGCUAAUACGGGGUGUUCUGGCUGUGCCGCAUGGUGUGGCUGGGAAAGAUUCACUUUUGUGGUGUUUUGGUGGGGGAUGGGCUCGCGGCCUAUCAGCUUGUUGGUGGGGUGAUGGCCUGCCAAGGCUUUGACGGGUAGCCGGCCUGAGAGGGUGGGCGGUCACACUGGGACUGAGAUACGGCCCAGACUCCUGCGGGAGGCAGCAGUGGGGGGUAUUGCACAAUGGGCGGAAGCCUGAUGCAGCGACGUCGCGUGAGGGAUGGAGGCCUUCGGGUUGUGAACCUCUUUCGCCGGUGAAGAAUGUCCUGCUCUUUGUGGUGGGUUUGACGGUAGCCGGGUUAUGAAGCGCCGGCUAACUACGUG